ensembl:snoRNA small nucleolar RNA SNORD46
UGCGUGGUUGAUGAAACCCUAACCUUAGGUUUGUUUUCAUUUGGCCGUUUUGGUUCAAAUCUUUUAACUUGCCGAUGCCAGGACUCUUGUCAUAGUUACUCUGACACGCU